CGUGUGCUGGAUGAUGUGUGUGUGUGAGUGCUGGAUGAUGUGUGUGUGACUGCGUGUGCUGGAUGAUGUGUGUGUGUGAGUGCUGGAUGAUGUGUGUGUGACUGCGUGUGCUGGAUGAUGUGUGUGUGACUGCGUGUGCUGGAUGAUGUGUGUGUGAGUGCUGGAUGAUGUGUGUGUGUGAGUGCUGGAUGAUGGGUGUGUG